rnacentral:lncRNA from 1 species
GUUUUGUAGGAGUUGAAAGACUGAAACAGCGUCGUAUUAGGACGAUGAGCUAUCAUCAUCUGCCACUCUUUCUCAGUUUCUCCGUCUCUCGCCGGCGAUCGAUUCGCCGAAAAGCCCCACUACCCAGGGUAAAGCACAGAGGCUUCUUCACCGAACCAAGGCUCUAUUGUGAAACUGGUCUGAUCUCCCUUCACAAACACCGCGUGGUUUAUAGACUUGAAAACAUCGAUGGGAACUGGAGAGUACGCAAAAAGAACAUAUCUUUUAAUUCAGCAAAUGAAAAAAAAUGGAUUUGCUCUUCUGAUAUGUGAGUCUUCUCAAGAGACUUGCCGAUCUUUUUCUCCCACAAGGUGACCAUUUCGUUCAUCGAUAAAAUGUUGUUAGGAGGACUAAUGUAGAGGGUUUUGUUCAGAGUCCUUAGAUCAUCCACCGCCUUGAUCAUGAGGAACAUUUUUGUCGCCAAAGAUGAUGGCCUUGUCUCUAGUAUGAGAAAUGAGACCAGACUCGAACUGAAGUAACGUACGCAAGUAAAAACCGGCAGAGCAAUUGCUAACAACGUAAGUGUAUGGUAUUCCUUCAGCUUCAAUGGCUCUCCUGAUCUGUACCUUCCCUGCAAAUAAUGAUUUUGCCGGCUCAACCGCACUGGUCCUCUCAACGUCUAUCCCAAACUCAGCCGGCAAGAAUCUCUGCAAAGCAAAAACUAUAAAUCUAGUAAGAGGUUAUGUUCAGCUGGAUUUUUUCUCAUAACUAUUUUCAGUUAGAUCAUAUGCUAAUCGGAUUGCCAUUUAUAUGUAUUGAGGUUUGAAUCAAAUACCAACCUUGACGUUACCAGCUUCUUUAAUGGCGGAAAUGAUCUUGGUUUGAUCAAAGAUUUGCUUGUGCCCGAUGGUUGAUAUCACCACAUCAACCUGUUUAAUGGCCUUAACUAAGCUCUCAUGAUCAUUCAAAUCUCCCUGUCCAAGUUACAUAACUAGGUUAUGGUUUUGAGUUUGUAUGAAACAUGUUAGAGAGUGAGAGUUCAUGCAUACGUGUAGUAUUGUGACACCGAGAUCUUUGAAGCUCUGGAUGGUUUUGCUCUUGACAGGAUCAGAGAGAGAUGCUUCUCGGACAAGAGCGAAUGUUGGGUUACCGGCUUUCGCGCUCCCUUCAACGAUGAAUUCUCCCAUGUAACCAGUCCCUCCGAUCACCAGAAUCUUGCUUUUCUCCGUCGUCAUGUUUCAAACGUGGUAAUGACUAAUGAUUGUGUGUACUACUAAAUUCAAUAAUGCUGUGGAAUUUGAGUGGCGUUGGCAAGGCAAUUUAUGGACAGAAUUUGUUGGUUGAUUGACAACAAUACCCUCACUCAACAUCUCAUGUGGUGCAUAGAUGUUGACUCCCAUGAUAAACAUGUUAUGCUCGUUAAAUCCAAAUUUUCUCAUUUGACCAUAUGUAAAAUUGUGAGAUAUUUUGUGGUUUUACACAGCUUUAUAGACCGUAAAAAUGGCUUAAAGAUGGAUGCAUAUAGAGAUAAAGCACUGUGAUUAGUCACACACAUUGCAAGAAUCAUUUUUUAUUGAUACAAACAUGAAAGCAGCUAGCGUUAUGGUGGUAAAUUAGGUGUUUAAUGAAGUUCCUAAAGCGAAAUAACUGAGAUACUCAUCAAUACUCGUGUACUUGAU